rnacentral:rRNA from 1 species
CCCUUAGAUGUCCUGGGCCGCACGCGUGCUACACUGGUACAUUCAACGAGUCUAAAACCUGCUCUGAUAGGGGUGGGUAAUCUUUUGAAUGUGCAUCGUGAUUGGGAUAGAUGAUUGCAAUUUUUCAUCUUCAACGAGGAAUGCCUAGUAAACGCAAGUCAUCAGCUUGCAUUGAUUACGUCCCUGCCCUUUGUACACACCGCCCGUCGCUCCUACCGAUUGAAUGACCCGAUGAAUAUCAUGGAUUGAGGAUGCAAGUAGGUUAGCCUAUCUUCAUCUUCGAGAAGUGAAGUAAAUCUUAUCAUUUAGAGGAAGGAGAAGUCGUAACA